GAGGGCUGUGUGUGUGUGUGUGUGUGUGUGUGUGUACUGGGUCCCAAGCCGGACUCUAAGGCUCAACCCCGCCACUCUCCUCAC
rnacentral:pre_miRNA from 14 species